ACACGUGGCGGGUGGAAGGCUCCGCUGUGUCUAACCCUAAUCGGAGGUAUUGAUGGUACUGUCGCCGCGCUCCCUCCGCCCGCUGUUUACUCGCUGACUUUCAGCGGGCUAGGGGAGCCGCCCCAGGGGGCGCCGCGGCGGGGAGGGGGUGGGGCGGACGCGGGAGAAAGGACCGAAAGGGGCUCCACGGCAAACAAAAAAAAACGUCAGCGAGGGGUCCUCUCGCCCCCAUCCGCCCUGGGGUCCUCGCCCGCAGGCCGCGGUCGGCCGGCACCCGCCAUUGCCGCCGCGAAGAGUUCGCCUCUGUCAGCCUCGGCGGCGCCCGGGAGAUGCGGCGCGCGGCCCCGCGCCCCCAGCAGAGCAACACGGGAGCGGCGCCCCCGGGGCAACCCCCGCGCCCCCCUGCGCCGUGGGGCGCGCGGACGGCGUCGCUCCCACACGC
rfam:Gallid herpesvirus 2 serotype 1 isolate Md5, complete genome.